UCCCUGGUGGUCCAGUGGCUAAGACUCCAUGCUCCCAAUGCAGGAGGCCCAGGUUCAAUCCCUGAUCAGGGAA
rnacentral:tRNA from 1 species